GCAAACUUGGUCAUUUAGAGGAAGUAAAAGUCGUAACAAGGUUUCCGUAGGUGAACCUGCGGAAGGAUCAUUAUUGAGGACUGGGCUCCCAUUAUGGAGCCCUGAGCUUCCAACCAAUGUAUUCCAUUACCAAUUUGCUUUGGCAGCCUUGGCAUCAUGGCCAUUUAGCGGCUGCCAGAGAUGAUUUAAUGCUGAUACAAUAAUUGGGGUCUGAGUAAUAUAGUAAAUCAAAAAAACUUUCAACAAUGGAUCUCUUGGUUCUGGCAUCGAUGAAGAACGCAGC
rnacentral:misc_RNA from 1 species